rnacentral:rRNA from 1 species
GAAAGGCUAAACAAACUUGGAAAUAGCUGGUUCUCUCCGAAAACUAUUUAGGUAGUGCCUCAAGUAUUACCGUCGGGGGUAGAGCACUGUUAUGGCUAGGGGGUCAUGGCGACUUACCAAACCAUUGCAAACUCCGAAUACCGAUGAGUACAGCUUGGGAGACAGUGCACCGGGUGCUAACGUCCGGACACAAGAGGGAAACAACCCAGACCGCCAGCUAAGGUCCCUAAAAUUGGCUAAGUGGGAAACGAAGUGGGAAGGCUAAAACAGUCAGGAUGUUGGCUUAGAAGCAGCCAUCAUUUAAAGAAAGCGUAAUAGCUCACUGAUCGAGUCGUCCUGCGCGGAAGAUGUAACGGGGCUAAGCCAGUUACCGAAGCUGCGGAUGUGCGCGUAAGCGUACGUGGUAGGAGAGCGUUCUGUAAGCCUGUGAAGGUGGCUUGUGAAGGCUGCUGGAGGUAUCAGAAGUGCGAAUGCUGACAUGAGUAGCGUUAAAGGGGGUGAAAAGCCCCCUCGCCGAAAGCGCAAGGUUUCCUACGCAACGUUCAUCGGCGUAGGGUGAGUCGGCCCCUAAGGCGAGGCAGAGAUGCGUAGCUGAUGGGAAACAGGUCAAUAUUCCUGUACCGAUAUGUAGUGCGAUGUGGGGACGGAGAUGGUUAACUCAGCCGGGUGUUGGAUGUCCCGGUUCAAGCGUGUAGUCGUAUCCCUUAGGCAAAUCCGGGGGAAUUAGAUGAGGCGUGAUAACGAGGAGGCUUGCCUCUGAAGUGAGUGAUACCCUGCUUCCAGGAAAAGCCACUAAGCUCCAGCUACAUACGACCGUACCGCAAACCGACACUGGUGCGCGAGAUGAGUAUUCUAAGGCGCUUGAGAGAACUCUGGAGAAGGAACUCGGCAAAUUGACACCGUAACUUCGGAAGAAGGUGUGCCUUUAGUAGGUGAUCCAUUUACUUGGUUAGCCCAAUGAGGCCGCAGAGAAUCGGUGGCUGCAACUGUUUAUUAAAAACACAGCACUCUGCAAAGACGAAAGUCGACGUAUAGGGUGUGACUCCUGCCCGGUGCUGGAAGAUUAAAUGAUGGGGUGCAAGCUCUUGACUGAAGUCCCAGUAAACGGCGGCCGUAACUAUAACGGUCCUAAGGUAGCGAAAUUCCUUGUCGGGUAAGUUCCGACCUGCACGAAUGGCGUAAUGAUGGCCACACUGUCUCCUCCAGAGACUCAGCG